rnacentral:lncRNA from 1 species
GAGGGAUGGAGGGAGAAACGUUGGCUGAAAGAUUGCAGCCAGGAGCUGCUUUCAUUUCCUAAGGACCACAUCUGCGUGGGCCUUGCAUACCAUGCCAACAAGUUUGAGUUUUAACUUGAAGACAAUGAUCAGUCUUUUGAGGAUUUUAAGUAGAGAAGUGGCACAGCCCAAUUCACGUUUGGAAAGAUCACUUCGCUAACAAUGUAGAUAAUUGAUGGAGAGGACAAAAAUGGAAGAAGGGAAACCAUUACUGAGCUAUACAGUAUUUCAGGUGAGAUGUGCCAGUUGUCUGAAAUGAGUCAGUGGUUACAAUGCAGAUAGAAAGUAAAGGACAGAUUUACAGGAAAUUAAGAAGACAGUAUUGACGGGACUUGACAAUUGAAAAAUGGUGAAAGUUAAUGGAGAGUGAAGAAUCAAUGAUACUUUCUAGCUUCUGGGAUGAGUAAGUAGGUGAAAAAUAUUGCUGUUGGGUGAGAUGGGAAUACAGAAAUAGGUUUGAGUGAGAAAAUGAUUUCACAUUGAGCCAUCCGCAAAAAGUCAAAUGGAGAAGUUAAGAGGGUUUGAAUAUAUGGGUCUGACUAUUAGGAGCCAAUUCUUGUCCAGAGGUAUAGAAUUGGGAAGCGUCAAUACAGAGGUGGCUGUUGAAACCAAGGAAGGAUAAAUGCACCUGGCUUUCAGUACUGUGAGAGAAGAGGAGGGCAGAGGCUGAGCCCACAAAAGUGCCUGGGGAGAAGGGAUCGAGUAGAGAGAUGGGUGCAAAGCCAGAAGGGAAUUCAACUUCUACCACCAGAGGAAAGAGACGUGUGUUCCUCUAUUUUCUUGAUUAGUUUUAUUCUGUGACCCUUGAUUCAAGCUAAAAUAGAUUCUAUCUACAGGAAGAGAAAUGUAACAAAACCUGUCCUAUAUUCUAAGCAUGUCCAGCUACAUGAGCAGAAUCAUUUUUAUUUCAGCAACACUGAAAAGAAGAAGCAGUACAGAGAAAAUGAAAAGCAGAAUAUCACGUUUGAUUCACAGUUCCCACCUGAAAAGCACAGGUCAAUUAUACCUCCAUAAAGCAGUGGAAGAAAGUCAUAAGUAAAAGAGAGACUACUAUAUCUUCAGUGGGACAAGGAGACAGUCACAGCCCAAGUCACAAACUCCAAAUGGAAAUUUUAAAGAAAUUAUUGGGGCCAAAAUGGCAGAAGGUGACAAGAGCAAGUACAAACUUCUAGAGAUAGUUUUGGUAGUGCAGAGCUCCCUCAAAGAAGAUGGCACAGCUCUGAAAGGAUCAAAGACACCCUACAUGGAAGGUGUGACUGGAAUGCAGGUGUUCUAAAGCGAGCCUGAUGAGUGAGAGAAGGCUGAAUAAGGAGCUACAUAGAUAUAUCAUC